rnacentral:rRNA from 1 species
AAAGCGCGCGUAGGCGGUUCGUUAAGUGGGGCGUGAAAGCCCCGUGCUAAACGCGGGGAGGACGAACCAUACUGGCGAACUAGAGUGGAGCAGAGGGACAUGGAAUUCCGGGUGUAGCGGUGAAAUGUGCAGAUAUCCGGAGGAACACCAGAGGUGAAGACGGUGUCCUGGGCUCACACUGACGCUGAGGCGCGAAAGCGUGGGGAGCGAACGGGAUUAGAUACCCCAGU